GAUGAACGCUAGCGAUAGGCCUAACACAUGCAAGUCGAGGGGCAUCACGUCUUCGGAUGGUGGCGACCGGCGCACGGGUGAGUAACACGUAUGCAACCUGCCUUUAACAGGGGGAUAGCCCUAAGAAAUUGGGAUUAAUACCGCAUAAAACAGGGAUACCGCAUGGUAUUAUUAGUUAAAGAUUUAUCGGUUAAAGAUGGGCAUGCGCUGGAUUAGAUAGUUGGUAAGGUAACGGCUUACCAAGUCGGCGAUCCAUAGGGGAACUGAGAGGUUAGUCCCCCACACUGGUACUGAGACAGGGACCAGACUCCUACGGGAGGCAGCAGUGAGGAAUAUUGGUCAAUGGUCGAGAGACUGAACCAGCCAAAUCGCGUGAAGGAAGACGGUAUUAUGUAUUGUAAACUUCUUUUGAGAGGGAAUAAAGUGCGGGACGUGUC
rnacentral:rRNA from 1 species